UACGUAGGGUGCAAGCGUUAAUCGGAAUUACUGGGCGUAAAGCGUGCGCAGGCGGAUGUGUCAGUCAGGGGUGAAAUCCCGGAGCUCAACUUCGGAACUGCCCUUGAUACAGCACGUCUUGAGUCCGGAAGAGGUGGGUGGAAUUCCUAGUGUAGAGGUGAAAUUCGUAGAUAUUAGGAAGAACACCGGUGGCGAAGGCGGCCCACUGGUCCGGUACUGACGCUGAGGUGCGAAAGCGUGGGGAGCAAACAGG
rnacentral:rRNA from 1 species